AGUGAACGCUGGCGGUAGGCCUAACACAUGCAAGUCGAACGGCAGCACAGUAAGAGCUUGCUCUUACGGGUGGCGAGUGGCGGACGGGUGAGGAAUACAUCGGGAUCUACUUUUUCGUGGGGGAUAACGUAGGGAAACUUACGCUAAUACCGCAUACGACCUACGGGUGAAAGCAGGGGAUCUUCGGACCUUGCGCGAAUGAAUGAGCCGAUGUCGGAUUAGCUAGUUGGCGGGGUAAAGGCCCACCCAGGCGACGAUCCGUAGCUGGUCUGAGAGGAUGAUAGGCCACACUGGAACUGAGACACGGUCCAGACUCCUACGAGAGGCAGCAGUGGGGAAUAUUGGACAAUGGGCGCAAGCCUGAUCCAGCCAUACCGCGUGGGUUAAGAAGGCCUUCGGGUUGUAAAGCCCUUUUGUUGGGAAAGAAAAGCAGCAGGUUAAUACCCCGCUGUUCUGACGGUACCCAAAGAAUAAGCACCGGCUAACUUCGUG
rnacentral:rRNA from 1 species